UACGUAGGGUACAAGCGUUAAUCGGAAUUACUGGGCGUAAAGCGUGCGCAGGCGGUUGUGCAAGACAGAUGUGAAAUCCCCGGGCUUAACCUGGGAACUGCAUUUGUGACUGCACAGCUGGAGUGCGGCAGAGGGGGAUGGAAUUCCGCGUGUAGCAGUGAAAUGCGUAGAUAUGCGGAGGAACACCGAUGGCGAAGGCAAUCCCCUGGGCCUGCACUGACGCUCAUGCACGAAAGCGUGGGGAGCAAACAGG
rnacentral:rRNA from 1 species